GAUGAACGCUAGCGGCAGGCUUAACACAUGCAAGUCGAGGGGUAUAGUAGCAAUACUAGAGACCGGCGCACGGGUGCGUAACGCGUAUGCAAUCUACCUUUUGCAGAGGGAUAGCCCAGAGAAAUUUGGAUUAAUACCUCAUAGUAUAUAUGGAUGGCAUCAUUUAUAUAUUAAAGUCACAACGGCAAAAGAUGAGCAUGCGUCCCAUUAGCUUGUUGGUAAGGUAACGGCUUACCAAGGCAACGAUGGGUAGGGGUCCUGAGAGGGAGAUCCCCCACACUGGUACUGAGACACGGACCAGACUCCUACGGGAGGCAGCAGUGAGGAAUAUUGGACAAUGGGCGCAAGCCUGAUCCAGCCAUGCCGCGUGCAGGAUGACGGUCCUAUGGAUUGUAAACUGCUUUUGCACAGGAAGAAACAACGCUACGUGUAGCGUCUUGACGGUACUGUGAGAAUAAGGAUCGGCUAACU
rnacentral:rRNA from 1 species